rnacentral:lncRNA from 1 species
CUUCCUGUAAGGGCAAUCGGACCCUUUCCGGUGAGGGAACCUCUCUCCAGACAUGAUCAAGAGAAACUGGCGAGGGACUGACAUGAUCUAGCUUACCUUGGGUCACCGAACGGAUUUGAACUCAUGUGAGAAUAUAUCUCUGUUGUAUUCAAAAGGCAUGUGACAUAAUUAUCCCAGCGAUCACUAAAACUGUAAAUUUGGAUGCAAUUAAGAGAGAAAACUCCACACAUUUAUGGAAAUUUAAGUGAUGGAAUGUAAUCCAGAAUGUACUUUUUUAUUUCUGAAAUCUCUGUAAAACAGUACAAUGGAAAAAUGAAAACGAAAGACAUAAUUGAGGAAAUCCAACAUCCCACAAAAAGGAAUUCUAGAAAGAUUUGCAGCUUGCUGGCUUGCUGAGUGGAAAAUGAUUCUUUCCCAGUUCUCCUUGGUUUCUUCCUUUCAUGAAUUGAUUAACACUGAGAGAUUAUGUUUUAAUUAUGUCGACUAGAGGUUUUAAAUGAUUCUAGGUUUCUGUGUCCAUUUGUUUUCCUAGGUUUGGGGAAUUUGCUACUGCAAUAUCGUUGUAUAGAUAUUCUUUGCUUUAGUGAGAAACUCAGCUCCUUCUACUCUGUGGUUCUUAGCUUUAGUCUAUUGUACACAUCACAGAGUUAAUGAAAGCUGUGGUCAUACUUGAUUUUUUCUUCAUUACUAUUGAAAUAAAGCAUAUCCUUGACCUUGUCUCCAAUCUCUAUUUUCAAGUCUGUUGGGGAUACAUUCCACUAUUGUUUGAUUGAAAUAUCCAUUUCCAACAUUUCUAUUACUUUGCUUCUUUUUUUUUUGUCCCCACCAAAAAUAAAUAUUUAUAGAAUUGUAAAUCAAAAUGAAACAUUUUUCUGUAUGUAUAAAAACAAAAGGAAACAAACAAAUAAAAAAAUCUGCAUAUUGA